rnacentral:pre_miRNA from 1 species
CUCGGGGGUGGGAAGGGUCCCUCAACCCAGAUUGUGAGAGGGCAUAGGCCAGGCUGAGGGAACACACAUGUGCGAU